AGAUAGCAGAGAUAGAACAAGAGGUAAUGCCUUCAAGUUGUGCCAGGGGAAGUUCAGGUUGAGUGUUACGAAAAAUUUCUUCUCAGAAGGAGAGUAAUGAUGCGGUGGCAUAGGUUGCACAGGGAGGUGGUGGAGUCACGGACCCGGGAGGGGCAAAGAAAAGAGAUUGCUGAGAAAGAGAUUGAGAAACUCCGGCUGGACUCAAUGAUCUCUUGAGGUCCCUUCCAAUCCCUGCCAUUCUUUUUGGGUAGGCAAGCUCACACCCAACUAAACUUGAUGGGACAACUGUUAUCGAUGUGAUGCACACAGCUCUUCUACUACAUUCAGAAGGACUUUGCAUUUGGAACUCAUCUACAAUCACAAGGUGGAAUUAUAUUUUGCAUAUCUUACAGCACUGUCAUGAAUAGCAGCAAGCUGUGUGUGAUUGCUAGCUUAGAGUGGGUUAUUUCUGCACUGCACCAAUCUACCUGGAAUUUGAUACAGCAGUUACUGGUGAUGUCUUUCCCAUUGGCAGCAAAGGUUCAUUGUUGCUCCAGCCACCUUCAAUCACAGCAUCACAAGUUCAGGCUUCAGGAAUAUUAAAGGAUUCUCACAAAAGAAGACUUUGAUGAAUUCAGUGAUGCAUUAAGGACAGGUUGAUGCCGUGCUCAGAAAAUGAUCUUUAGCUCUGCAGCUGAGAAGUGAUGAAAAGGAACAAUCAAGCCCUCUUCAUGAUGCUUUGUCCUUGCAACACCACUGUAUUUCAGGUCCCUCACCCUCGUGGCUUGGCCAAAGGCACAAACAAUGCAAAGAUAACAAAGGAUGAUGCCCAUUGGUCUAGAAGAAUCUUUGGCUCCUUCAGGCACAUAAAAGGCGACAGAUAUUCAAGGAACUGACUUCACUGCAAUGAGAAUAAACCACCUCUAAAAUAAACCACAAGUGCCACAACCCUCUUGGCUCUCAUUUGCCUCCUGCAGUCUGAUCACAGGAAUAAAGUAUGAGAGCAUGAAGAAGCUCUCCAGUCAAGCUGAAAAAGGAGGAGUUGACAAGCCAGGGAAAUGUUCUCCUGUAACCUUGAACUUGUAUUCGCUUCCCUCUGAAAACAAGAUGUCUCAAGGCAGACAGGGGUGGAGGUGAAGUACUUCACAACAUCAAUACCAUGUUAUAAAUACCUCAGAACUGUGGUAGCCUGAAGGUUUUGUGGACUCCAUGGAAUUUAAAAUCAACCUACACUAAAGUAUUUCCUUUUUACACUAAAAAAAAAUAAAUAAAAAUAAAAAAUC
ensembl:lncRNA